rnacentral:misc_RNA from 1 species
UAUGGUACUCACGAAUCUCUUUCAAUCUGUCAUAAAAUGCACUAAACACAUUUGUUCCAGUUGCUGUCUGGCCUCCCAGAGCUGCAAUUUCAUCCUUCCUCGCUCCGUCUUUGUCUUCAUAUAUAUCUACUAGUUUGUGUGUGGUAUCAAUGAUUUGCUCGAUCAUGUUACGAACGCGGUGGCUCUGGUGGAGCCGGUCCUUGUUAGUGGCCGGCUCAGUCUGGAGAUCCUUCACAAUAAGGCGCUCGAACCGCUCAACUUCCUCGUGCGAUGCACGAGUCACCUCCAGUAGAGUCGACGACAUUGUUCUUCGACUUCCACUGCUACUGCUUUACGCUCUGCAAGUACUAGGGUUUCGAGUUCGUCUCCUAUUUUUUCCUUUUCGCCUAGAACUUGCCGGUUCAGAG